AUUACUUUGAAGUUUAUACAUGUGAUGACUGGGUUUUUUAACUCAUGUGUGAGAUGUGCCUUUCUUAAAUCCUAUGAUGACAUUAGCACAUUACCCAUUUGAUG